CGCAACUAUGAGGAGCACUGCCCUGUUGUAUGUGAUGGAGUCAAAGAGAAGAAAUAUAUGGCAUGCACUCAACAGGGAGCCGGAUCCUGGGCUGGGUUUGCAAUACAACAGUGCGCUGCCACGUGCUGACCGGUGAGAUCGGCAGGAGAGGUGUUUGAGUGCAGGAAGCAGCCUAAAAAUGAUGCAUGAACCAGCAGUACAUCAGAUCGUUUAGGCUCUACCUUACUGUAGCCAGAAAUAGGAAAUAAAACUUGCAAUCUGACUGUUUUCA
rnacentral:lncRNA from 1 species